UACGAAGGGGGCUAGCGUUGCUCGGAAUCACUGGGCGUAAAGCGCACGUAGGCGGAUUGUUAAGUCAGGGGUGAAAUCCUGGAGCUCAACUCCAGAACUGCCUUUGAUACUGGCGAUCUUGAGUCCGGGAGAGGUGAGUGGAACUGCGAGUGUAGAGGUGAAAUUCGUAGAUAUUCGCAAGAACACCAGUGGCGAAGGCGGCUCACUGGCCCGGUACUGACGCUGAGACGCGAAAGCGUGGGUAGCAAACAGGG
rnacentral:rRNA from 1 species